UUCCGAGAGGCUGAGCGGUGAAGCAUCUACAUGCAGUGCAGGAGACUCAGGUUCAACCCCUGGCUCGGGAA
rnacentral:tRNA from 1 species